rnacentral:lncRNA from 1 species
UUGAUAGAGAAGGGACAGGGAACAGAACCUUCGCCCCCCGCCUGAGCAGCUGGUAGACUAGAUAUCUUCCAAACAUUAUCUCAUUUACUUCCCUGGAGUUACAAAUAGGUAGAUUUCAUGUCCGUUGAGGGGUGAGAAAGCUGAAACUUUGAGACUUAAGAAUCCUGGCCGAGGUCAGCCUCCUCCGAAGCUUCAUCUCUUGCCACCACUUUCUGGUGCACACCUAGGACAGAUUUCAAUCCCUGAGAUCCCAGGAUGAAACCUAUGUUUGCCAAAUACCAGCUACUGUGCCAGAAGAGAUCAUGGAACCAGGUGUGGAAAGCUGCUUGAGAAGAGGAGCCAAAACAUCAUAGUUGAACCGUCCUGGAAUAGAAACUCGCCCUGAAUUCUUUCUUGUGUGAAAUCCAAGAGCCCUCUCUUGGGGUUGGAUCGGGACCCUGUUCCUGUAACAAGUCCACAAUGCCAGAGAAUUAAAGAGAACCACAAAGCUGAACCUCAAAAAGUUAGCCUGGCGAGGGGAGGAUGAUGAGAUUUCCCCUGUUGUCACAUAAACAAGGAAGUAAAGGGGGCCCCUUGUGCUCUCAGAACUCCAAGCAUGAAACGAUUUCCUGUUAUCGUGCUUUGAGGUGCACUGAACUGCAGCAAACCCAGGGGAUCCAAGGCUACGUUGAAAAGCCUUUGACCACAGUGCAGGGAGCAGAAGACAUUAAUGACGUGAUGUCGACACAGCCCGCACUCAGGAUCCUCCAGGAAAAGAACACAGAGAUAACCCCGGAUCGAUGGUACUUUUUGAAAAUGCUUUAUUGCAAAAGAGUGGCUAGGGUUUUACAAGGGCUAUGAAGAAACAUAUUAAGGUUAAUAAAGCUUUUUAUUGAGUGUUU